GGCGGAGCUCGCCGAGGACCUAUAUCGGCGUCGGGCUCUGUGCGCAGGCGCGCGUAGGUUCUCGGCGGGGCUCCCUGGUGGUCUCGGGGCUGUCUGGGCGCGGCCGCGCGUGGGGCGGGCGGUAGGCCCUGGAGGUCGGCGUCCUGUUCAGCGCGGGCCUCCCGAGGCUGCGAAGAGGGGCGCGGGGCGGAGGCAGAGGCAGCGCCGCCUGGGCCGCGUCCACACUGAAUGGAGGGAGACUGGGGGUCCCGAGCGAACGCGCGGGAAGGGCCGCGUUUGUGGGAGAGGCCGCGCUGGCUGCGGGGUCUCCAUCCUCGUAAUCGCCGAGGCGGCCCGAACGCGGCCCAGAGGACUGAGCGACAGACCCCAUCGGGCCUCGCAGCCCGGCGAGGCUCUACUGGAACAGAGCAUCUCUACUGAGCCGGAAGGAGGGGGACUCCAGGAACGGGAAUCUCACAGGGAAGAACCUCCGCUCCCUCUAGCCUCUGACCCAAGACCCAUCGGAGCUUCAGAAGAGAAGCGGAAGAAACCCAGAAAAGGAGCGUAUCGCCCGGAGGGCGGAGGCUUGAGUGAUUUCACCACCAUCAGCUAAGGGAAAAAGCCUGAAAGGGGAAAUGACUUGUGAAGAAUCAGUAAGAAGCACAUAGAAGUCCUGGCAUGUGCUGUCCACACGAUCGCACGGAAACACAUUUCCUCUUAAAAAAAUCCUUUUGAGGAUGUCCCUGGUGGUCCAGUGGGAUUAAAGGUUACCCAGCUGGCGUGUGGAAGUUUUUAGGAAGAGCGUUGAGGAGCUCUCAUCAUCCUGUUCCUCUUUCCUCCUCUUCCAGGAAUGCCUUCCCAGGUUUUGACAGUCUUCCAAGAACAACAGAAAAUGAACAAAUCCCAGAGCUUCAUCUUCUCUCCCCUGCACUGUUGGAACAGUUUUUUGCUUCUUUCUCCCCGAGGUUAAGUCUGUCCUCCUGAGGAAUCUGAAAUGCUAUUCAGAUGAUGCCACUUCAGUAUGGAAACCACUUGAAUAGCUUCUGGCCCUCCAGAGGGGAAAGGCUGAGUUCUUAUCAUGAAAUUAAGGCUGUUGAGAACAGAACCACUUCCUAUUUCUCUUUGUUUUAUUAAAUAUUUAAAAAAAUUCUCAUAUUCUACAUUUUAUUCAACAGUGAUUGAUUAGUGUGUGAGGUACUGAACUGUGUGCCACAGACUCUGCUCAGAACGAUGUAGAGACCUGGUCCCUUUUUGAUGGAGUUCACAGUUUAGAGAAGGUGACAUUUAAAGAGUAAACAUGUAACAGUGGUCUCCAGUGACCCCAAACCUGACAUAACUUCCUGAACACAUCCGGUUACCACCCAUCUGUGCAUCUCACUCACGUCUCUGUCCUGCGGGCUGACCUGGGAGCCCUGCUCCACUUCCUUUCCUGAGUCUCCAGUUCAUCUCUCAGGAGCUAACUUGGGGGAGAUCUCUUCCAGGAAGCCCUUCUCCUCUUUCUUUGUCCCCCUCUGGAUUAAUUGCCCUUCCCCUCUGUGCUCCACAAUGCCCCUGCUGCCCCUGUCACUGCGCUUUGUCCAUUGCGUGGAAAUUACCUGUUUGUGUCUGUGCUGACAGGCCAUUAGCCCUUCAAAGUCCAUGUUCAUGCCGUGUUCAUCUUCAUAUUUUCCGUUCCUCACCCUGUGCCUUGUUCCUGGUAGGUGCUCAUCACGUGUUUGUGGCUGAAUAAGCAAAUGGUAGGCUUGGGAAGCAAACUCUGCUCUGACUGGAUAAUCACCCUACCUGAAUACAGAGCAGGGCCAUCCAGGAGAAUUGGGGUCUCCUUUCCCUUCUCUGAAUGCUAUCUUGGAUCAUGCAAGAAGUGUGCUGGCCAGGGAUCCGUGUCAUUCAAGGACGUGCCUGUGGACUUCACCUGGGAUGAGUGGCUACAGCUGACCUGCAUGCAGAGGACCCUGUACCGGGAUGUGAUGCUGGUCUGCGUGGCUGAGGCGUCUUCCCUGUGUAGCGCCUCAGCGUGUGCAUUGUUUCUUAGCCGCCAAAGCUUACGAGCCCUUGGUGGAGCUUUAUGAUAUCUGCACACCUCAUGGGUCAGAAAUGAGUGCUGCUAUUGAGCACAGAAAGAAGGCUUCUGUUCUCACGUCCCUAAAUAAAGGUUCAAAUGGGCACCAUUAUCAUGUGAUUCCUGAACCGGCACCUUCAUUGUCCUUCAGGGCCCCCGAUGUCCAAGCAACUUGUCUGAAGUCUUAACCCUGUAUCUCACUCACAGGGUACUGCGUCAGCAAACCAGAGGUGAUCUUCAAGCUAGAGCAAGGAGAAGAACCAUGGCCAUUAGAGAGAGCAUUUCCAUGCCGGAGUGAUCCAGGUGAGUUAGUCAUUAUCAGGUGAAAAAAAAGAAGCCACUGGAAAAGCAGACCCAGAUGGAUUGGUCCAGAAGUUGAGACCUUUGGUGUCUGUCUCAGUACUUCUAUGUAGGGGCUUCAGACCUUGGGAAGUAACUGAAUGGCGAGCCAGCCUGCCUCAGAUAACCUGAACCACAUUUCCGUCCACCACUCUUAAGUACCAGCGCUUUCCUCUGGCCUGACUUUUAGGGAAGGUGACCAUUCUGUGCCCAGUGUUGACCCCCUGCCUGCCUCCUGAACUUUGUUCUUGGUUUCUCCUUUCUAGUAUUCAUCUUCUCUCCAUUUUCAUGGACUAUUUUCUUUUCAGUUUUCCCCGCAGGCAUUUAUUAAUUCUUUCUGCAGAUAUUUUUACUCUGUGCCACCCUCGCUCCUGGUGUCGGGGAUACACCAAUGAACAAACACUGUUCCUGAGCUCCUAUAGCUUACAAGCUAGCAGGAGGAGGAGACGUGAAUAAAUAAGUUUACACAUCCAGUGGUGACGAGAAUGGUGAAAAGAACUAAAACAGGAGAUAGAGAGCGGGGUGUGCUCUUGUAAAAGGUGGUUGGAGAAUGCCUUUCUGAUGAUGUCAGCAUUAGAGCAGAUAAAGAAGUAAGGAGGUGAGUCAUGUGGAUCCUGGGGGUUCCAGGCGAAGGAACAGCCACAGGGCCAAGUUCCUGCGGCAGGAGUUUGUUGGAAGUGCUCUGAGGAAAACAGGGAGGCCGGAGUGGUGGCAGGGGAGCACCUGAGAGGGAUGCUGGUGGGAGGUGACAUCAGACAGGUAGCCAGGGGCCAAAUGAUGUGUUACAGGACACGGCAAGGGCUUUGACUUCAUUUGGGGUGAGUUGUGUAGCUAUUACUGGAUUUCUGCAAAAGAGUAUGUUUUAAAAGAAUUUCUUUGCUACUAUGCAGAGGAAAUUGGGGACGGGGACAAGGGUGGUGGACAAAGUAAAAGCAUAAAGACAGUGUGAAAUGCUGGCUCCUGAAAUACUGACCACCACCAUUGUGAAGGCAAAUCUUAAUUUAUUGCUCACCCUGACAGUCUUCGUAGCAUCUUGGAAAAGAGUGAACAAAGGUUAUUUAUGAGAUUUGAGGGUAUAGUUUAAAGUAUAUUUUUUUAAUUCAGGGGCUUAAUAACCUUUGGGUAAGAAUUAUGAUUUAACAGUUUAGGAUUUGUGGACAGGUCUUGGAGAAUAAGUAGUAUAGUAUCUAUGGGAAAGGUGAGAAGUUUGUUUAAAAGGGUUUUGAGGAAGCUUCUGAAAUGAACAGUAAGAUCAUUUGCAACUUUUAUUUUCCUGGGCAUGAGUUUCAUGGGGCAGGAAAGUCUGCCGGUAACACAGUAGAACAGUAGUCAUGGUAAUGCAGAGAGUAAGCUGUGUGGGUGUUGACGGUUUCAGCUCUCGACAGCAAAGAGGUGUUUGCAGUGGCUCAGAUGUGAAGUGAGGGAGGGGGUAGACGUGAUGAAAUGUGGCUCCACGUUGGGAGAGUAGGAUUUGCUGUUGGGUAGGAUGUGGAGUGAGAGAACGGGGUGGGGAGCCGAGGAUGACCUCAGUAUUUAGUCUGAGCAACCUGCUGGGGUGGGAAGUGUUCACUGAGAUGGGAAAAGUGGGGAGGAGCAGUUCGGGGCAAAUUUUUUAAGAAGUGACUUUGAGAAGCGUCAGUGACUUGAGAUGAUUAUUCAAAUUUAGAUGUUGAUAAGGCCCUUGGACAUACAGAUCUGGAGUUGGAGAACAGACAGGAGUGCAGAUUAAAUUUGAAAGUCAUGAGUUGAAAGGUGGUAUGCAGACAUAACUGGGCCUUGGGCAGUGGAUGUGGAUAGACAGGAAAAGAGGCUGCAACCCACAGCCUUACAACACGUAGGAGUCACAAGCGUAACAGAGAAGAAAACCCAGAGAGAUGUCUGGAGGGCAAGAAAGGUGCUUGUCAAGAAGGACACAAUGAAUUUCUAGUUUGAAAUUGGAAAUAUGAAGUCAGCGUUUUCCCCCUUUGUUCCUGUAAACCGUCUAAAACCAACUAGGAGAUUGAGAAAUGAGUUGCAGACUGGUAUUUUGUAUAAAUCUGAGAAAUAGCUAAACUUGAAACCAUGACAUAAAGGGAAGAACUGUUGAAAGCAAUAAAAAAUCAAGCUGGGUACAGGCACCUGGAAUUGGAACCAGAGAGAGACCUCCAGGGCUGCUGACCUCAGAAAGAAAUGCAAGGUGACUAACCCUUGGUAAAACAUCAGGAAGGGAUUGAACAAGAUUGUGGCAGGAACUUCCUUGUUACCUGCUUUGGUUCUGAGAAGCAGAGAAGUGGGAUUCAGGGUGGAAUCACACACAUAACCCUUAACUGUGUAAAGUAUUGGUCUUUGUAGCAUUUGGGGGAUAAACGAGACUUUGCACGUGAAAAUGCCCAUAGGUUUUCAGAGAGAAAUAAAAAAUAAUCAAAUACAAUGUUAAGUCCUUGGUCCUAAGCAGCCAGUGCAGGAUGCAUGGAUGUUUUCCUAAGAAAAAAAAAAGGGAGAAAGAGAAAAAAAGAAAAGGCAAAAAAAAAAAAAUUAGUAAGUGAAGAACAAGCACCUGAAAAAUAUUGUCAUAGAAGAGAGAAAUAUUGUGACCAAGUAUCUCACUAUUAAUGUUUCACAGCUUAAUGAAGCAAUUGCUUUUAUGAUUCAAAAACACAAGGAACCAUAUAUAAGCACUGAGGGGAGAGAUGAAGAGACACAGGAGAUUGUCUGAAAGCUUCCAGUGCUCAGGAAUGAACUGGAAGAAGAAACAUCCUGACAGUAAAAUGUGUAGAAUUGGAAGGAGCACAAAGAGCUGAAAACAUAGUGAGGGGCCUGGAAGAGAGGAGCACAGGAAGUGAGCAGAUGGAAUGGGAAUCGGGGCACAGUUAAAAGGGUCACAUGUGGAAGACUGGAAAAGGAGGUUCAGCAUGCACACCAUCCAGUCCCCCAUGUGGAAAGCCAGAGAUAAUUGAAUAGAACAAAUACUUAGAGAUACAUUUCAAAGAAGCUUCCUGGUACGAAAGAAGACUGGAGUCUACAUGAAAAGGACUAACUUACGGGAAACUAACUCAGAACUGUCACCACCAUGGUGUAUCCUAGGGAAGUUACUAGAUUUUUAAAGAAAGAAAGGUUCUUUUUGGUCUGCAAAACCAAAGAAUUAAGUCAUUUAAAACUUUGUUGAGGAAUAUUGACUAAUUGUAUAUAUUUAAAACGUACAGUGUGACGAUUUGAUGUACAUAUAUUGUAGAAUGGUUACCAAGAUUAAGAUAAUUAACACAUCCAUCACCUUACGUAGUUAACAGGUAAUUUGUAUGUGUGGUUUUUUUUGGGGGGGUGAGAAUGAUUCAGAUAUAUUUGCAACAGCGUUCAAGGGUACAAUACCAUAUUAUUAACUAUAGUCACCAUGCUCUACAUUAGAUCCCCAGCACUUGAAUUAAGUCUUUUUUCUUUUAAAUUCUGGCUGUGCUCCUCGGCUUGCAGGAUCUCAGUUCCCUGGCCAGGGUUUGAACCUGGGCCACAACAGCAAAAGCACUGAAUCCUAACCACUAGGCCACCAGGGAACUCCCCAGUCAUUUUUAAGGGGGAGAAAAAAAAUCAAGGUGAUCUCAGACGUCCAUAAUAACAUUCAGUGCUUUUAAAAGCAGUGGAGAAAGAAUUACAAAAUCCUUAAGAACUAAAAGUAAAUCCCAAUAAUUUUAUAUGUAGACAAAAUGCUAUUCAGCUAAAGUAACAACAGUAAGUUUGAACAUGCAAGAAUGCAGGGAAAUAUUGUUUUCGUGAGUUCUUUGUAAAGAAUUUUCUAGAACAUGAACUUUAAUCAAGAAAUGGUAAAGUAUAAAAUAGCAGAAGAUUGUUUUUGAGUGCUACUUAAGUGAGAACUAAGUCUAAAAUUGAAGUGGGGAUUGAUUAUCAGGAUAGAGUUAAAACUUAAAGGACUUAAGAUUUUAGGAUUAUUAGAUAUAAAAUUUUAAAAUUUGUGUGGAAUAGCCACGUCCCAAAAUAAACAAAGCAGUUUAGAAGGCUAAGAAAAACUACGGGGAGCUUGCCCUUUCAAAUUCAGUGCUAGCUAUUGGCUGUAGUGUGAUAUUAAUGUAAGAAUAAACAGAUCAGGGGGCUUCCCUGGUGGCGCAGUGGUUGAGAAUCUGCCUGCUAAUGCAGGGGACACAGGUUCGUGCCCUGGUCUGGGAGGAUCCCACAUGCCGCGGAGCAACUAAGCCCGUGAGCCACACUACUGAGCCUGCGCGUCUGGAGCCUGUGCUCCACAACAAGAGAGGCUGUGAUAGUGAGAGGUCCGCGCACUGCGAUGAAGAGUGUCCCCCACUUGCCAAACUAGAGAAAGCCCUUGCACAGAAACGAAGACCCAACACAGCCAAAAAUAAAUAAAUUAAAAAGAAAAAAUCAGAACAUUUCCCAGCUGUGGUCAGAGGAAGUCCUGACUACUGAAUAAAGGCACAGAGAGAUGCAACAUUGGUGCCUUUGAAGAUGGGAGAAUGAGGCUAAGAGCCAGGGAAGGCAGGGCUUAAAAAAAAAAAGAAAGAAUAAUAAACGGAUCAGAAGAUUCCAGAA